rnacentral:rRNA from 1 species
GAUGAACGCUGGCGGCGUGCCUAAUACAUGCAAGUCGAGCGAACGGACGAGAAGCUUGCUUCUCUGAUGUUAGCGGCGGACGGGUGAGUAACACGUGGAUAACCUACCUAUAAGACUGGGAUAACUUCGGGAAACCGGAGCUAAUACCGGAUAAUAUUUUGAACCGCAUGGUUCAAAAGUGAAAGACGGUCUUGCUGUCACUUAUAGAUGGAUCCGCGCUGCAUUAGCUAGUUGGUAAGGUAACGGCUUACCAAGGCAACGAUGCAUAGCCGACCUGAGAGGGUGAUCGGCCACACUGGAACUGAGACACGGUCCAGACUCCUACGGGAGGCAGCAGUAGGGAAUCUGCCGCAAUGGGCGAAAGCCUGACGGAGCAACGCCGCGUGAGUGAUGAAGGUCUUCGGAGCGUAAAACUCUGUUAUUAGGGAAGAACAUAUGUGUAAGUAACUGUGCACAUCUUGACGGUACCUAAUCAGAAAGCCACGGCUAACUACGUG